UGGGGAAUUUUCCGCAAUGGGCGAAAGCCUGACGGAGCAAUACCGCGUGAGGGAGGAAGGCCUUUGGGUUGUAAACCUCUUUUCUUAGGGAAGAACAAUGACGGUACCUAAGGAAUAAGCAUCGGCUAACUCCGUGCCAGCAGCCGCGGUAAUACGGAGGAUGCAAGCGUUAUCCGGAAUUAUUGGGCGUAAAGCGUCCGCAGGUGGUGGUUCAAGUCUGCGGUCAAAGACCGGAGCUUAACUCCGGAGGUGCCGUGGAAACUGAACUACUAGAGACCGGUAGGGGUAGAGGGAAUUCCCAGUGUAGCGGUGAAAUGCGUAGAGAUUGGGAAGAACACCAGUGGCGAAAGCGCUCUACUGGGCCGGUACUGACACUCAGGGACGAAAGCUAGGGGAGCGAAAGGGAUUAGAUACCCCCGUAGUCC
rnacentral:rRNA from 1 species